rnacentral:rRNA from 1 species
UACAGAGGGUGCAAGCGUUGUUCGGAAUUAUUGGGCGUAAAGCGCAUGUAGGCGGCUUUGCAAGUCGGAUGUGAAAGCCCUCGGCUCAACCGAGGAACUGCCUGUCAGACUGGAUGGCUCGAGACCGGGAGAGGUGAGUGGAAUUCCCAGUGUAGCGGUGAAAUGCGUAGAUAUUGGGAGGAACACCAGUGGCGAAGGCGGCUCACUGGACCGGAACUGACGCUGAGGCGCGAAAGCGUGGGGAGCAAACAGG